AGAGCGAACGCUGGCGGCAGGCCUAACACAUGCAAGUCGAGCGCCCCGCAAGGGGAGCGGCAGACGGGAGAGUAACACGUGGGAACGUACCCUUCAGUUCGGAACAACCCAGGGAAACUUGGGCUAAUACCGAAUACGUCCGUAAGGAGAAAGAUUUAUCGCUGAAGGAUCGGCCCGCGUCUGAUUAGCUAGUUGGUGAGGUAACGGCUCACCAAGGCUACGAUCAGUAGCUGGUCUGAGAGGAUGAUCAGCCUCACUGGGACUGAGACACGGCCCAGACUCCUACGGGAGGCAGCAGUGGGGAAUAUUGGACAAUGGGCGCAAGCCUGAUCCAGCCAUGCCGCGUGGAUGAUGAAGGCCUUAGGGUUGUAAAGUCCUUUCGACGGGGAAGAUAAUGACGGUACCCGUAGAAGAAGCCCGGCUAACUUCGUGCCAGUAGCCGC
rnacentral:rRNA from 1 species